rnacentral:rRNA from 1 species
GUGGGGAAUAUUGGACAAUGGGCGAAAGCCUGAUCCAGCCAUGCCGCGUGUGUGAAGAAGGUCUUCGGAUUGUAAAGCACUUUAAGUUGGGAGGAAGGGUAGUAACCUAAUACGUUGCUACUUUGACGUUACCGACAGAAUAAGCACCGGCUAACUUCGUGCCAGCAGCCGCGGUAAUACGAAGGGUGCAAGCGUUAAUCGGAAUUACUGGGCGUAAAGCGCGCGUAGGUGGUUCAGUAAGUUGGAAGUGAAAUCCCCGGGCUCAACCUGGGAACUGCUUUCAAAACUGCUGAGCUAGAGUACGGUAGAGGGUGGUGGAAUUUCCUGUGUAGCGGUGAAAUGCGUAGAUAUAGGAAGGAACACCAGUGGCGAAGGCGACCUCCUGGACUGAUACUGACACUGAGGUGCGAAAGCGUGGGGAGCAAACAGGAUUAGAAACCCCGGUAGUCC